UGGGGAAUAUUGGACAAUGGGCGCAAGCCUGAUCCAGCCAUGCCGCGUGAGGGAUGAAGGUCCUAGGGUUGUAAAGCUCUUUCACUGGGGAAGAUAACGACGGUAACCGGAGAAGAAGCCCCGGCUAAUGUCGUGCCAGCAGCCGCGGUAAUACGAAGGGGGCCAGCGUUGUGCGGAUUUACUGGGCGUAAAGCGCACGUAGGCGGUCUUUUAAGUCAGGGGUGAAAUCCCAGGGCUCAACCCGGGAACUGCCUUUGAUACUGGAAGUCUUGAAUGUGGUAGAGGUGAGUAGAAUUCCUAGUGUAGAGGUGAAAUUCGUAGAUAUUCGGAGGAAAACCAGUGGCGAAGGCGGCUCACUAGAAGCUUACUGACGCUGAGGUGCGAAAGCGUGGGUAGCAAACAGG
rnacentral:rRNA from 1 species